AGCCAGAACAGAGAACAGAACAGG
rnacentral:piRNA from 1 species